GAUGAACGCUGGCGGCGUGCCUAAUACAUGCAAGUCGAGCGAACGGACGAGAAGCUUGCUUCUCUGAUGUUAGCGGCGGACGGGUGAGUAACACGUGGAUAACCUACCUAUAAGACUGGGAUAACUUCGGGAAACCGGAGCUAAUACCGGAUAAUAUUUUGAACCGCAUGGUUCAAAAGUGAAAGACGGUCUUGCUGUCACUUAUAGAUGGAUCCGCGCUGCAUUAGCUAGUUGGUAAGGUAACGGCUUACCAAGGCAACGAUGCAUAGCCGACCUGAGAGGGUGAUCGGCCACACUGGAACUGAGCCACGGUCCAGACUCCUACGGGAGGCAGCAGUAGGGAACCUUCCGCAAUGGGCGAAAGCCUGACGGAGCAACGCCGCGUGAGUGAUGAAGGUCUUCGGAUCGUAAAACUCUGUUAUUAGGGAAGAACAUAUGUGUAAGUAACUGUGCACAUCUUGACGGUACCUAAUCAGAAAGCCACGGCUAACUACGUGCCAGCAGCCGCGGUAAUACGUAGGUGGCAAGCGUUAUCCGGAAUUAUUGGGCGUAAAGCGCGCGUAGGCGGUUUUUUAAGUCUGAUGUGAAAGCCCACGGCUCAACCGUGGAGGGUCAUUGGAAACUGGAAAACUUGAGUGCAGAAGAGGAAAGUGGAAUUCCAUGUGUAGCGGUGAAAUGCGCAGAGAUAUGGAGGAACACCAGUGGCGAAGGCGACUUUCUGGUCUGUAACUGACGCUGAUGUGCGAAAGCGUGGGGAUCAAACAGGAUUAGAUACCCUGGUAGUCCACGCCGUAAACGAUGAGUGCUAAGUGUUAGGGGGUUUCCGCCCCUUAGUGCUGCAGCUAACGCAUUAAGCACUCCGCCUGGGGAGUACGACCGCAAGGUUGAAACUCAAAGGAAUUGACGGGGACCCGCACAAGCGGUGGAGCAUGUGGUUUAAUUCGAAGCAACGCGAAGAACCUUACCAAAUCUUGACAUCCUUUGACAACUCUAGAGAUAGAGCCUUCCCCUUCGGGGGACAAAGUGACAGGUGGUGCAUGGUUGUCGUCAGCUCGUGUCGUGAGAUGUUGGGUUAAGUCCCGCAACGAGCGCAACCCUUAAGCUUAGUUGCCAUCAUUAAGUUGGGCACUCUAAGUUGACUGCCGGUGACAAACCGGAGGAAGGUGGGGAUGACGUCAAAUCAUCAUGCCCCUUAUGAUUUGGGCUACACACGUGCUACAAUGGACAAUACAAAGGGCAGCGAAACCGCGAGGUCAAGCAAAUCCCAUAAAGUUGUUCUCAGUUCGGAUUGUAGUCUGCAACUCGACUACAUGAAGCUGGAGUCGCUAGUAAUCGUAGAUCAGCAUGCUACGGUGAAUACGUUCCCGGGUCU
rnacentral:rRNA from 1 species